CCGUUAAAAACCAAGAAGAAGAAGAACAUGCCAAAGCUCGGUGCACGUAACCUACACUAAAUCCACACUGGCCUGAAUACAUCUCCGGAGUGGUAUUUCAGGCUAAGCGUAUCCCAGAGUUCAUCACGUUCAGGAGCCGACACCCCACCUACCCGAGUGAUCGCCGUAUCUUCGCCAUGAUGACGUCAAGGAAAGCUUUUCAAUACAAGUUAUUUAUUAUACUCAGAUGGUAAAAACCUGUUGGUGAUUUUGGUCAUUUAUCAGCCAGUGUGGCAUGCAAUAUACGAUUUUGCAAAUGUUGUUUUUAAAAUGUUAUUAACUACUACCACUGUUUCUGUCUCAUCUGUACAUGCGUUUAUAUAUUUAAAGUAUAACCUAUGGUUUUAUUUGUUGUAUGAAACCACAUACUGAUAAGUUGUGUAAAGUAGUCUUUGGUUGUCUUAAAUACAUGAAUACACAACGCAUAUAAUUUAAAUGGUUUGUAUUAGUAGCUAUUAAUGGAUCACAUAGGUUUAGAAAAGUUUUAUGCAGUGUAUUGAGAAACAACGUAGAAAGAAAUGGCUUUAAUAUUUUACAGUUUUAAUGUGCAAAGUAUUGAAAAUCAAAAUGAGUAAAAAUACUUAACUUUUACAAUUAAUUUAACACAAUAAUACAUUGUAAAAAACCAAACCAAACCAGUAGUGUAAUGAUAAAUAAAAGGAUGGGUAAACUAUUCAGUUAUUUAUUAUUUUAAGUAGACUAUAACAGUCACCACUACUAACAACAGUCAGUGUUCUGAGUGCAACUACAAAAACAGCUGUUGCAACUGGUACCAACAUAGUUUGUCAACAAGUCUACGAGUGUCCCAUGUGCAUUCAAAAAUCAUACACGCACUAACAGUAUUCACGUCUACUUGCACACUGUGGCCAAACACCGGAAAUACGUAAGACAAGUGGGUAAGUAGGCAAGACCAAAACCGCAAGUGGGGGUAUUGGGACAGGGCCAGUGUUUAUGUUUUGCUUGCUGUUGUAGUUUCGACAAAUACUGACACCUAUUGGUGUGGAAGCAGCACCACCUUUAAGGUGUUUGUUGAAACUGAGCACAGUUUAUAGGCCAAUGUAGGCACCUGAAAGGAUGAAACUAUACAAGUUAUUAAGAAAAUAGUAUGACCCUAACAUGACAUAGGCAUUCUGAAAGAUUUAAGAAUGUUUUUUGUAGAAAGAUUUAAGAAUGUUUUUUGUAGAAAGAGGUGUAUAAAGCUACAAAGCACAAUGUUUUUCCCUUUUUGGAGAUAGCUAACAUUCAACAAAUGUUGCUGUUUUGUGCAAACAGAGCUUUUUUUAUCAAGUACAUGAUAAAAUGGUACAUAUUAGAUGUAUUGAACGUUACACAGUAAAGCAAGAGCUGUAAGUAGCUUAGAUCCAGGCUCCAUCAGCAAAUACCUAAUUAGCAUUUUUUUAAACCCACCCAAAAUAACAAGAAAGAUUAAUUAUAAUCUUAAUCUUACACCACGUUGUGAGAGAAUGCUGUCUCUAUUUUCCAGCCUCCAUAUGUCAAAUGAGAGUCAAGCUAGUCCUUCACCCAAUGAGAAACACAACAUGCCAUUCUUGUCUCCGUGGCAACAUAUCAACCAGAUUCCAGGGCUGCAGGACUGUGUUUCUUUCAGCGUAGAUCUCUGCCAUUCUCUGGUUCAAGACUCAAUUGUGAAAUAUCUUAUUCCUCCUCAAACAGAACACGCUGUAGGAUAUUUCAUCUGGUUUGUGGCAGAAGAAUUAGGGAAAAUUAUAUUUAAAUGCUUUUGGGACAUUUUGGAGAUACACACAUUGUUCUUUGGCUGACCUGAAUGUGCCUCUUUGGUCCAACAGAAGCAUUGGGCUGGGUCGUCAGGCAGACCAACCUGUCUGUCACAGAGAGCUGGAUUCUGAUUGGAUGACAGGGUGGCAGGAUGUAACCACCCUUGCAAGUGAUUGAUGGCCAGAGUGUCUUGAUGAAACGCACAUUGCAGCAGCGUGAUUUAUGCAGGGAUUAUCUCUAUCUUUCACAGCCUUAUGUAGAAAACUAAUCGCACAUGUGGAUAUCGAUCCCAUCACCUUUCCAUGGGGACAUGUGGAGGAAGGACAGCCGGUCUAAAAUUCAAAAAAAGUUCAACAUUCAAUGUGAUGGCUAAGGUAUUAUUUGAAGAUGUAUGUAUGUAAUGGCCAAAGAGUUAUUUUAAAGUAUAUGCCUCAUGUAAAUGAUGUAAAUUUAGAGUUACAUUACACUACAAUUGUAAAGAUGUGAAUAUUUUCUAGAAAUACAAAUUCCAGACACUGCAAA